rnacentral:rRNA from 1 species
UACGUAGGGAGCAAGCGUUGUCCGGAUUUAUUGGGCGUAAAGAGCUCGUAGGCGGCUUAGAAAGUCAGGUAUGAAACCUCCAGGCUCAACCUGGAGACGCUACUUGAUACUUCUAUGGCUUGAGUUCGGUAGGGGAACACGGAAUUCCUGGUGUAGCGGUGAAAUGCGCAGAUAUCAGGAGGAACACCGGUGGCGAAGGCGGGUCUCUGGGCCGAUACUGACGCUGAGGAGCGAAAGCGUGGGGAGCGAACAGG